rnacentral:rRNA from 1 species
UACGUAGGGGGCUAGCGUUGUCCGGAAUCAUUGGGCGUAAAGCGCGUGUAGGCGGUCCGGUAAGUCCGCUGUGAAAGUCGGGGGCUCAACCCUCGGAUGCCGGUGGAUACUGUCGGGCUUGAGUACGGAAGAGGCGAGUGGAAUUCCUGGUGUAGCGGUGAAAUGCGCAGAUAUCAGGAGGAACACCGGUGGCGAAGGCGGCUCUCUGGGACGGUACUGACGCUGAGACGCGAAAGCGUGGGGAGCGAACAGG